rnacentral:rRNA from 1 species
UAGGGAAUCUUCCACAAUGGACGAAAGUCUGAUGGAGCAACGCCGCGUGAGCGAUGAAGGCCUUCGGGUCGUAAAGCUCUGUUGUUAGGGAAGAACAAGUACCGGAGUAACUGCCGGUACCUUGACGGUACCUAACCAGAAAGCCACGGCUAACUACGUGCCAGCAGCCGCGGUAAUACGUAGGUGGCAAGCGUUGUCCGGAAUUAUUGGGCGUAAAGCGCGCGCAGGCGGUCCUUUAAGUCUGAUGUGAAAGCCCACGGCUCAACCGUGGAGGGUCAUUGGAAACUGGGGGACUUGAGUACAGAAGAGGAAAGCGGAAUUCCACGUGUAGCGGUGAAAUGCGUAGAGAUGUGGAGGAACACCAGUGGCGAAGGCGGCUUUCUGGUCUGUAACUGACGCUGAGGCGCGAAAGCGUGGGGAGCAAACA